rnacentral:rRNA from 1 species
CUAACACAUGCAAGUCGAGGGGCAUCACGAGGUAGCAAUACUUUGGUGGCGACCGGCGCACGGGUGCGUAACGCGUAUGUAACCUACCUAUAACAGGGGCAUAACACUGAGAAAUUGGUACUAAUUCCCCAUAAUAUUCGGAGAGGCAUCUCUCCGGGUUGAAAACUCCGGUGGUUAUAGAUGGACAUGCGUUGUAUUAGCUAGUUGGUGAGGUAACGGCUCACCAAGGCAACGAUACAUAGGGGGACUGAGAGGUUAACCCCCCACACUGGUACUGAGACACGGACCAGACUCCUACGGGAGGCAGCAGUGAGGAAUAUUGGUCAAUGGACGCAAGUCUGAACCAGCCAUGCCGCGUGCAGGAAGACGGCUCUAUGAGUUGUAAACUGCUUUUGUACGAGGGUAAACUCACCUACGUGUAGGUGACUGAAAGUAUCGUACGAAUAAGGAUCGGCUAACUCCGUGCCAGCAGCCGCGGUAAUACGGAGGAUUCAAGCGUUAUCCGGAUUUAUUGGGUUUAAAGGGUGCGUAGGCGGUUUGAUAAGUUAGAGGUGAAAUCCCGGGGCUUAACUCCGGAACUGCCUCUAAUACUGUUAGACUAGAGAGUAGUUGCGGUAGGCGGAAUGUAUGGUGUAGCGGUGAAAUGCUUAGAGAUCAUACAGAACACCGAUUGCGAAGGCAGCUUACCAAACUAUAUCUGACGUUGAGGC